AUGGAGGUGGCUCUCGGCUCGGCGGCCUCGGUCCUCGGCAAGGUGUGGACGACGCUGUCCGACACCCUGGUGGCGGCGUACGUGGACAGCCUCGAGCUCGGCCAGAACUCCCAGCAGAUCAAGGCCAAGCUCGCGCACACGCGAGGCCUGCUGCACAACGCCCAGGCCCAGGGGAGCGACAACCCUGGCCUGCAGGACCUGCUGCCAGCGCUGAGCAAGAACGCCGACCAGGCGGAGGACCUGCUCGAUGAGAUCCACUACUUUCAGAUCCAUGACAGGCUCCACGGCACCAACUAUGCCACCACGACCCAAGAGGCCGGCCCGGAUCUGGACAGCCUUGUCCGCCAUCAAGCUCUCCAUGCCGGUAGUGCUCUUCGCCACACCCUUGACAGCUUGGCACAGUGCUUUUCUUGCACGCCUACACCCAAGACCAAGAGGAAUGGUGGUGGUGCUGCUGCUGCUGCUGUUGCCGGUGCCCCACGCCGGUGCACCUUGCUCCAUUGCUUUUCUUGCUCCUGUACACCCAAGAGCAAGAGGAAUGGUGGUGAUGCUGCUGCUGCUGUUGCCUGCGUUGGUGGUGAUGCUGCUGCUGCCGCUGGCGGCGUCACCAACUCCAACUCUGCUGCUGCUGAAGAUAGUGAUAUGCUGCAUUUCGACAGAGUGUCCAUGUCAAGAGAAAUCAAGUCCGUGUUACAGGCCAUGCAGUCCCACUGUGAUUCCGUCUCCAAUUUGCUCGGCACUAUCCCAAGCAGCAGCAUGGCAGUGGCGGUCGUCCAAGAUCGGCCUCAGACUGCUUCCAUGAUUAUACAAGAUACAUUGUAUGGCAGGAAAGGCAUUUUUGAGGAAACUGUUGGUCGUAUCACCGCUGCCACACACACUGUUUCUGUUCUUCCUAUAGUUGGGCCAGGGGGUAUUGGCAAGACAACUUUCACAACUCAUCUGUACAAUGAUGCAAGGACUGAAGAGCACUUCCAAGUCAAGGUCUGGGUAUGUGUAUCCACUGAUUUUGAUGUGCGUAAGCUCACCAAGGAGAUCCUUGGCUGCAUACUUGCAACUGAAGGAGCAGGUAGCAGCAGUGCUGCAAAUGAAACAACCAAUUUAGACCAGCUUCAGAAAUCCAUAGCAGAACGUCUGAAGUCCAAGAGGUUUCUAAUUGUCUUGGAUGAUAUAUGGAAAUGUGACAGUCAGGAUCAGUGGAAAAGCUUGUUAGCUCCGUUCAUGAAGGGGGAAGCUAAAGGAAGCAUGCUACUUGUCACAACUCGAUUCCCAAAGGUAGCAGACAUGGUGAAAACAGUUGAUCCACUAAAGCUGCGAGGUUUGGAGUCUAAUGACUUCUUCACAUUCUUUGAAGCAAGUAUAUUUGGUGAAGACAACAAGCCUGAGAGAUACGAAUAUGAGUUAGCUGGUAUUGCACGAAAAAUUGCAAACAAGCUAAAGGGUUCCCCGCUUGCAGCCAAAACAGUUUGCAGGCUAUUGCAGAAGGACCUUUCUCAGGAACAUUGGAAUGGAGUUCUUGAAAAGCAUCAGUGGCUAAAGCAGCGAGAUAAUGAUGAUAUCAUGCCAUCUUUAAAGAUCAGCUACAACUGCCUCCCUUUUGAUCUGAAGAAAUGCUUUUCCUAUUGUGGCCUUUUCCCUGAAGAUUAUCAGUUUACUUCUUCAAAAAUCAAUCAUUUCUGGGUUUCAAUUGGCAUCAUAGACUUGGAUCACUUGGCCAAUAGGAAUUACUUGGAAGAGCUAGUGGACAAUGGUUUUCUCAUGAAGGAACUAGUGGACAAUGUUUUUCUAGUGGACAAUGGUCAUCGGUAUUGCUAUGUAAUGCAUGAUUUAAUGCAUGAGCUAUCUAAGAGUGUUUCGACACAAGAAUGUCUUAAUAUAAGUGGCUUAGAUUUCAGAGCUGACGCCGUCCCACAAUCUGUUCGACACUUAUCUAUCAACAUAGAAGACAAAUAUGAUGCAAAUUUUGAGGAAGAAAUGUGUAAACUAAGGGAGAGGAUAGACAUUGCUAAUCUGCGGACUUUGAUGAUUUUUAGAAGAUAUAAAGAAGAAAGAAUCAACAAGAUUAUGAAAGAUAGCUUCAAGGAAAUAAAUAGUCUGCGUGUCCUAUUUAUAGUGGUGAAGUCUGCACAAUCUUUUCCGGAUAGGUUUUCAAAACUUAUCCACCUCCAGUACCUCAAAAUUACUUCAUCUCUCGAUGCUGACAGGGAAAUGAGUUUACCUAGUACAUUAUCAAGAUUUUAUCACUUAAAAUUCUUGGACCUAGAUUAUUGGUAUGGUAGUUCUGAUUUGCCUGAAGACUUCAGCCACCUUGAGAAUUUACAUGAUUUCCGUGCUAAAAGUAAACUCCACUCCAAUAUUUGCAAUGUUGGAAAGAUCAAGCAUCUGCAGGAGCUUGAAGAAUUCCAUGUCAAGAAGGAGAACAUGGGAUUUGAACUGAGAGAACUUGGGGCACUGACAGAGCUUGAAGGAGGACUGACUAUAUGUGGUCUUGAACAUGUGGCAACCAAGGAGGAAGCUACUGCAGCCAAACUGAUGUUGAAAAGGAACCUGAAGGAGUUGAAAUUACUCUGGGGCAGAGAUGGAGCAACUACAGAUGAUGAUAUUCUUGAUGCUCUUCAACCACACUCUAAUCUUAGAGUACUCACAAUUGUACAUCCUGGUGGUACAGUUGGUCCUGGCUGGUUGUGUCUUGAUAUCUGGUUAACAAGUUUAGAGACUCUCACUCUAGAAGGCGUAUCUUGGAGCACCCUCCCACCUUUUGGUAAGCUACCAAAUCUCAAGGGCCUCUAUUUGAGUAAAAUUUCUGGAAUGAUUCAGUUUGGGCCUCUAUGUGGCGGCGCUCCAGGGAAAUGUUUUAUGCGCUUGAAGACAGUUGAGUUUGAUGAGAUGCCAGAACUUGUUGAAUGGGUUGUGGAACCUAAUUGA
rnacentral:rRNA from 1 species